UGGGGAAUUUUGGACAAUGGGCGAAAGCCUGAUCCAGCAAUGCCGCGUGUGUGAAGAAGGCCUUCGGGUUGUAAAGCACUUUUGCCCGGAAAGAAAUCCUUGGCUCUAAUACAGUCGGGGGAUGACGGUACCGGAAGAAUAAGCACCGGCUAACUACGUGCCAGCAGCCGCGGUAAUACGUAGGGUGCAAGCGUUAAUCGGAAUUACUGGGCGUAAAGCGUGCGCAGGCGGUUUGCUAAGACCGAUGUGAAAUCCCCGGGCUCAACCUGGGAACUGCAUUGGUGACUGGCAGGCUAGAGUAUGGCAGAGGGGGGUAGAAUUCCACGUGUAGCAGUGAAAUGCGUAGAGAUGUGGAGGAAUACCGAUGGCGAAGGCAGCCCCCUGGGCCAAUACUGACGCUCAUGCACGAAAGCGUGGGGAGCAAACAGGAUUAGAUACCCUGGUAGUCCACGCCCUAAAACGAUGUCAACUAGUUGUUGGGGACUUCAUUUCCUUAGUAACGUAGCUAACGCGUGAAGUUGACCGCCUGGGGAGUACGGUCGCAAGAUUAAAACUCAAAUGAAUUGACGGGGU
rnacentral:rRNA from 1 species